GGGUCUGCGUCUCAUUAGCUAGUUGGUAGGGUAAUGGCCUACCAAGGCAACGAUGAGUAGCUGGUCUGAGAGGAUGAUCAGCCACACUGGAACUGAAACACGGUCCAGACUCCUACGGGAGGCAGCAGUGGGGAAUAUUGCGCAAUGGGCGAAAGCCUGACGCAGCAACGCCGUGUGAGGGAUGAAGGCUUUCGGGUCGUAAACCUCUGUCGGAAGGGAAGAACGGGCAUUGGUCUAAUAGGCCUUUGUUUUGACGGUACCUUCAGAGGAAGCACCGGCUAACUCCGUGCCAGCAGCCGCGGUAAUACGGAGGGUGCAAGCGUUAUUCGGAAUUACUGGGCGUAAAGCGCACGUAGGCGGCCUUGUAAGUCAGGGGUGAAAUCCCACGGCUCAACCGUGGAACUGCCUUUGAAACUGCAGGGCUUGAAUCCUGGAGAGGGUGGCGGAAUUCCUGGUGUAGGAGUGAAAUCCGUAGAUAUCAGGAGGAACACCGGUGGCGA
rnacentral:rRNA from 1 species